rnacentral:rRNA from 1 species
AGAUUGAACGCUGGCGGCAGGCCUAACACAUGCAAGUCGAGCGGCAGCACGGGUACUUGUACCUGGUGGCGAGCGGCGGACGGGUGAGUAAUGCCUAGGAAUCUGCCUGGUAGUGGGGGAUAACGCUCGGAAACGGACGCUUUAAUACCGCAUACGUCCUACGGGAGAAAGCAGGGGACCUUCGGGCCUUGCGCUAUCAGAUGAGCCUAGGUCGGAUUAGCUAGUUGGUGGGGUAAUGGCUCACCAAGGCGACGAUCCGUAACUGGUCUGAGAGGAUGAUCAGUCACACUGGAACUGAGACACGGUCCAGACUCUACGGGAGCAGCAGUGGGGAAUAUUGGACAA